rnacentral:lncRNA from 1 species
AAAAAGAGCUGGUGAAAUGAUAACACAAGGGAGCACUCAGCCUACAAGAGGACAUUAACACUUCAGGAGAAUUGACAUCUUCUAUAAGUGUAGCCAACCCAAAGAAAAUGAAAACAUUUAACUUUCUAGACCGAGCCAUGUGUGCCCAGUACUCAUCUUAGCUCCUUCUCUUAAAAUGUCCUCACAUGAAAUCAAUAAAACAGAUUGUGAUGUUAUUUCACGGAAAUAAAAUGUGAUCCCAGCCUCCCAAUAAUCUGAUUUCCCUGUCCCGUUCUUCAACUUCAGAAUGGUCUGUAUUUUUUCAGUCGAGUCCAUAUGGGUUUUUUUUCCUUGUGUUCAAAGUAGGCAAGAUUUAGAUCACUUUGUGGUAAAGCAAGCUGCUUUUGAUUUGCUUUCUUAAUAAGACUCGAACAUACCAGAAGAGUUUUCGGAUAUUGGAGACAUAACUUGCUCUCGGCUGAAGAGUUAGGGACUUCUGCCAACACUUAAGCUUUGCAGAUAAAUCACAUGUGGCAGCUUAUGUAAUAGGCUUGGGCUUUAUAUACUGUAUCUGUAGGACGGUGGCAUGUAAAAAUCUUAAUGGGAACAACAUGCUUCAACCUGAACAAAUUUCACAUUGGCCCAGGACUGUACUUUUAUAGAACAGUCUAAGCAAAGUGAGUUCAGCUAGCUAAUCAUAUAAGCCUCUAUGGCAAGUUUUUGUUUUCAUUAAGUUGUGGCUGUCUACCAGUUCAUCUUUUUUUUAAAGGAAAUUGGAAAUCGAAAGUCUCAGAAAAACUUGGAUAAAAAUGGUUAUCUACCUGAAAAUCACACCAGGUUAUAUACGAUUAUUGCAGACCCAAGCAGCUGGGAAGUUAGCCAUCAACCCCGUGGAUACACUGAUACAUCAGGCGGCUCUGUUCUUGGGUUUGUUCGGGACCAGCAUCUCUACUUACAGCUUAGUUCAGCUGGCUCAAAAGAAGAGGAAACCUGCGGAUUUUUAAUCAGACUUUGGAUCUCAAGCCAACGGACUAAGCUUGAGGAGCACCCAUUGAUUUUCACUGUCACUUUCAGAGGCAACUCCACUGGCUGAAAAGAGAGCGUCAUCCAUUGCUGUGAAUACAAAUCCUCUCAAUUCGUAUUCCACAGUAUUUCUUGAAAGGUGGAAGAAGAACCUCAAUUAUUUCCCCCACUCAGGAAAACAAACUAACACAAGAAGAAGAGUUAGAAGAAGGAAGGAGGCAGGCAUUCCAUUUUAUGGCAAGAUGGACUUCCCGGGACAAGCAAUGGCUUUGUUUUUGCUGAGCUUAAUACACACAGAAAGGUCUCUGUAUAUACAGAGAUCAGUUAAAAUCUGAGCUAGAGCAGACAGACAGAUUGUAGCAGACAAGUAGAACUGCUCUGUUACUAUUCUACCAAAUCAUUUUGGGUAGAAAGAUUAACAGGACAAAAGGGGAGCAACUGAAAGUCUGAAGACAAAUAAGAAUGUCUUUCCCCUUCCCUUCACACAUGAACUCAUGAUUUGGCACUGCCAUCUCAGUUGCAUGCCUGGACCUCAGAUGCCAGAGGGAAGUAAAAUGGGCGGAUGCGUGUGUAACACUCUGCACAAAAGAUAAGCCUUAUAUUAACGGGCAGUUGUAGCAAACGGAUGGUUGGCUCUGUGCUUUGAUGGGCAUGUAUGUCAAUUACUGCUCAGUGCUUUUGACACCCUCUCUGUUGUGUAGUCAAAUAGAUAAUAGUUCUCAGACACAAACUCUAGUGCUGCAUCAUUUUGUGACCGCCAAAAUCAUAGGGUUGACCAAGCCUUAGAAGUCAUCUAGUCCAUUGGGGAAAAUGGUAUGACUGGAUCGAACAAAGAUAGUUAAAAGGUUGAUGAAUUAAGGUUAAACAAUAUAUAAGUUAAAUGUUUAUAAUUGCAUAAAUUGAAUAUAUUUGUAAACAACGCACAAAAUAGCAGUAUAAGAAAAUUGCCACAGCU